GUUUUAAAUAGAUAAUAAAUGAUAAGAUAAAUAAUUAUUCAAGUUAUCUUAGUAAUGAAAUGUUGCAGCAGACUGCAUGAUAUAUAGACUUUAUAUGUUGAUUGGGUUUUUUUGAAUGUUCAUCAAGCAAAAUUUGUUCCAAAAACCACUAAAAUGGAGAAAGAGUACAUGCAAUCGAAAUGUUUAAACAGUGAUAUCAUAAAUAUCAUUCAAAAUACUUUAGAAAUGUGGCAACUUGCUUCCGAUCAUGAUAUACGUACAAUUAAAGUAGACUUGGAUGAUAUAAUUGAAUCUAUAAAGCAGGAACACUUUGUAAACUCAACUGAUUGCAAAAUCUACAGAGGAAUUCAUUGUGUUGUUCAUAAUUUUAUUUGGGAUGCACUGAUGCCUCUGGUUCGAGCGAUGUUCACUGAAGAAGAUACCUAUCUAUAUCAAAAAAGUAAAAAAUUUUGCAAAUUUGGAAAAACUUUGGAUGAGGAAGAUAAUUAUCUGAGUACCAUUUCUUGCACAU